rnacentral:SRP_RNA from 1 species
GGGCACGCUGGUGCACGCCUAUAGUCCCAGCUACUCCGGAGGCUGAGGUGGAAAGAUUGCUUGAGCCCAGGAGUUCUGGGCUGUAGUGUGCUAUGCCAUUUGGGUGUCUGCACUAAGUUUGCCUUCAGUAUGGUGACCUUCUUGGAGUGGGGGACCACUAGUUUGCCUGAGAGGCAAACUGGCCCACGUUGGAAACAAAGCUGGUCAAAACUCCCAUGUUGGUUAGUAGUGGGAUUGUGCCUGUGAGCAGCCACUGCACUCCAGCCUGGGCAGCAUAGUGAGACCCAAUCUCU